rnacentral:rRNA from 1 species
UCUAUACAUGACUCUGCGCAUAUCAAUAAGCGGAGGAAAAGAAACUAACAAGGAUUCCCUUAGUAACGGCGAGUGAAGCGGGAAGAGCUCAAAUUUGAAAUCUUCAAGGUUCUACCUUGACGAAUUGUAGUUUAUAGAAGUGUUUUCUGUUAGUAGAGUGGCAAAAGUUCUUUGGAAUAGGACAUCAUAGAGGGUGAGAAUCCCGUAUUUGGUCAUUCUUCCUAGCGUUGUGAUACACUUUCAACGAGUCGGAUUGUUUGGGAAUGCAGUCCAAAAUGGGUGGUAAAUUUCAUCUAAAGCUAAAUAUUGGCGAGAGACCGAUAGCGAACAAGUACCGUGAGGGAAAGAUGAAAAGAACUUUGAAAAGAGAGUUAAACAGUACGUGAAAUUGUCAAAAGGGAAGCGUUUGACACCAGUGUUGUUUUUCCGAAAAUCAAUUACGAAUGUUUUAUUUUUGAGAAGUUAUGACUUCAUCGGCUUGCUUCUCUCUUUAUGAAACUUUCUUAAUGCACUUUUCGGUUAACAAGUCAACAUCAAUUUCUUUUGUUGUAAAAGGGUAUGAGGAAGGUGGCUUUCUUUUCGGAGAAAGUGUUUAUAGCCUUGUACCUCUGCAAUCGGAGAGAUUGAGGUCUGCAGCGUAGAUCCUUCGGGGUUAGAUACAUUUGUGCUAAGUUAUAGCUUUUCAUAGACAACUUGUUGACUAUGUUUAGUCUUGUAGCUUACUCGCUUAUGCUAUUUUACCUACGCUUAGGAUGUUGAUAUGCAUGACUGAUAU